rnacentral:tRNA from 1 species
UAUGAUAAGAACGGGACU